rnacentral:sRNA from 1 species
CUAUCCAUCUAUCCAUCCAUGUAUCUGACUUCUAUCUCAUCCAUAUCAUAUAGGUAUAUCUACAUCUAUAUGUGUAUUUAUAGUUGUGAAAAUGUUAUUCAUUACAAACACUUGUGGUUCCACCUGUGUACAAAAAUUGUUUAAAAGCCACAGGGAGAGUAAAUUAAAUGCACGUGUCACUUUGCCAGAUGACAUGUGCCUUAGAAUAUUGACAUCACUAUGGUCCUUCAGCCUGACAACUACAGAAUCCUGAGACUUCAGUAGUUUUCUAGCCACUGUAGUCACCAGUUUGGUGUCUAGAGGCAGGAAGGCAAACGAAAAUUUCACAUUGUUUGAUAAGUUCUUCAUCGCAGGCUUUACUAAAAAGGUGGAGCUCUGCAUCAGGAGAAUUGUUUUGUUUUGUUUUGUUUUUUUCCAUAUGGAUACAACUAAGGAGGAAGAUGUAGGAGAAGAAAAUCGAACCGUGGUUUGCCAAGGUGCUGCGGUUAUCCGAAGGGGGUGGAAAAGAAAGAAACGAUAUCUGACCUUGUUCAAUGACAUUUUGGUGGUAUCCAGUAAACUGUAAGUAUACGCACCAUGCUUUCCUUACUAUAAGAGGCUACUCAGUGGAAAGGCCUUAAG